GACGAACGCUGGCGGCGUGCCUAAUACAUGCAAGUAGAACGCUGAAGGAGGAGCUUGCUUCUCCGGAUGAGUUGCGAACGGGUGAGUAACGCGUAGGUAACCUGCCUGGUAGCGGGGGAUAACUAUUGGAAACGAUAGCUAAUACCGCAUAACAGUAGAUGUUGCAUGACAUUUGCUUAAAAGGUGCAAUUGCAUCACUACCAGAUGGACCUGCGUUGUAUUAGCUAGUUGGUGAGGUAACGGCUCACCAAGGCGACGAUACAUAGCCGACCUGAGAGGGUGAUCGGCCACACUGGGACUGAGACACGGCACAGACUCCUACGGGAGGCAGCAGUAGGGAAUCUUCGGCAAUGGACGGAAGUCUGACCGAGCAACGCCGCGUGAGUGAAGAAGGUUUUCGGAUCGUAAAGCUCGGUUGUAAGGGAAGAACGAGUGUGAGAGUGGAAAGUUCACACUGUGACGGUAUCUUACCAGAAAGGGACGGCUAACUACGUG
rnacentral:rRNA from 1 species